GACUGGUCUCAAACUCCUGACCUCAGGUGAUCCGCCUGCUUCAGCCUCCCAAAGUGCUGGGAUUAUAGGCGUGAGCCACCCCACCCGGCCUAGACAUUGUAUUUUUAUAUCACCUUUAACAACCUCAUGAUGCUUUUGUGUGUAUUAUGGGAUUGUAUUUAUGGCCUUGUCCCUGCAUUGUGGAUGUCAAGGGUCAGUUGCCACGUGCUUAGUCAUAUACCUAAACUCAGGGAACACACACACGCAUGCUUAUGGACUCACACACACUCACACUCUUACCCACACUCAUUCUAGCCACACUCACACUCAUAUAUACUCACCAAUACGCUCACACUCACACAUAUCCUUACACACCCACACUCACACAUACCCUUACACACUCACACACACCCUUACACACCCACACUCUCACACACACCUUUACACACCCACUCACACACAUACCCUUACACACCCCCACACACCCUUAUACACCCACACUCACACUCUAGCUACACCCACACUCAUAUAUAGUCACCAAUAUGCUCACACUCUCACACUCACAUGCUGUCGUGCUCGCUCACACUCAUACCGUUGCACACUCACAUGCUCUCACACACUCUCACGGUGAAAUCUGUGCCUGCCACCACACUCGGGUUGUGAUGUGUGUUUCACUUUUAGCUCCU
rnacentral:lncRNA from 1 species